GAUUGAGGGGGGCUGCUCCUAGUACGAGAGGACCGGAGUGGACGCAUCACUGGUGUUCGGGUUGUCAUGCCAAUGGCACUGCCCGGUAGCUAAAUGCGGAAAAGAUAAGUGCUGAAAGCAUCUAAGCACGAAACUUGCCCCGAGAUGAGUCUUCCCUGAGACUACAAGUCUCCUGAAGGAACGUUAAAGACGAUGACGUUGAUAGGCCGGGUGUGUAAGCGCAGCGAUGCGUUGAGCUAACCGGUACUAAUGAACCGUGAGGCUUAACCUUACAACGCCGAAG
rnacentral:rRNA from 1 species